GACGAACGCUGGCGGCGUGCUUAACACAUGCAAGUCGAACGCUGAAGCUCAGCUUUUGUUGGGUGGAUGAGUGGCGAACGGGUGAGUAACACGUGAGUAACCUGCCUCCUUCUUUGGGAUAACGCCCGGAAACGGGUGCUAAUACUGGAUAUUCACUGGUCUUCGCAUGGGGGUUGGUGGAAAGGGUUUUUCUGGUGGGGGAUGGGCUCGCGGCCUAUCAGCUUGUUGGUGGGGUGAUGGCCUACCAAGGCUUUGACGGGUAGCCGGCCUGAGAGGGUGACCGGUCACAUUGGGACUGAGAUACGGCCCAGACUCCUACGGGAGGCAGCAGUGGGGAAUAUUGCACAAUGGGCGCAAGCCUGAUGCAGCGACGCCGCGUGAGGGAUGGAGGCCUUCGGGUUGUGAACCUCUUUCGCUCAUGGUCAAGCCGCAACAAUGGUUGUGGCGAGGGUAGUGGGUAAAGAAGCGCCGGCUAACUACGUG
rnacentral:rRNA from 1 species